rnacentral:rRNA from 1 species
AUGAACGCUGGCGGCGUGCCUAAUACAUGCAAGUCGAGCGAACAGAUGAGGAGCUUGCUCCUCUGACGUUAGCGGCGGACGGGUGAGUAACACGUGGAUAACCUACCUAUAAGACUGGGAUAACUUCGGGAAACCGGAGCUAAUACCGGAUAAUAUAUUGAACCGCAUGGUUCAAUAGUGAAAGACGGUUUUGCCGUCACUUAUAGAUGGAUCCGCGCCGCAUUAGCUAGUUGGUAAGGUAACGGCUUACCAAGGCAACGAUGCGUAGCCAACCUGAGAGGGUGAUCGGCCACACUGGAACUGAGACACGGUCCAGACUCCUACGGGAGGCAGCAGUAGGGAAUCUUCCGCAAUGGGCGAAAGCCUGACGGAGCAACGCCGCGUGAGUGAUGAAGGUCUUCGGAUCGUAAAACUCUGUUAUUAGGGAAGAACAAAUGUGUAAGUAACUAUGCACGUCUUGACGGUACCUAAUCAGAAAGCCACGGCUAACUACGUG